rnacentral:rRNA from 1 species
CCUACGGGCGGCUGCAGUGGGGAAUAUUGGACAAUGGGGGGAACCCUGAUCCAGCCAUGCCGCGUGUGUGAAGAAGGCCCUCGGGUUGUAAAGCACUUUCAGUGAGGAAGAACGCCUGGUGGUUAAUACCCAUCAGGAAAGACAUCACUCACAGAAGAAGCACCGGCUAACUCCGUGCCAGCAGCCGCGGUAAUACGGAGGGUGCGAGCGUUAAUCGGAAUUACUGGGCGUAAAGCGCGCGUAGGUGGCUUGAUAAGCCGGUUGUGAAAGCCCCGGGCUCAACCUGGGAACGGCAUCCGGAACUGUCAAGCUAGAGUGCAGGAGAGGAAGGUAGAAUUCCCGGUGUAGCGAUGAAAUGCGUAGAGAUCGGGAGGAAUACCAGUGGCGAAGGCGGCCUUCUGGACUGACACUGACACUGAGGUGCGAAAGCGUGGGUAGCAAACAGGAUUAGAUACCCCGGUAGUC